GAUUAACGCUAGCGGCAGGCCUAAUACAUGCAAGUCGAACGGUAACAGGUGUAGCAAUACAUGCUGACGAGUGGCGCACGGGUGCGUAACACGUAUGCAACCUACCUAUAACUGGGGAAUAGCCUUCCGAAAGGAAGAUUAACACCGCAUAACAUCACGAAACGGCAUCGUUUUGUGAUCAAACCUCCGGGGGUUAUCGAUGGGCAGGCGUAACAUUAGUGAGUUGGUGAGGUAAUGGCUCACCAAGGCUACGAUGUUUAGGGGGUUUGAGAGGAUGAUCCCCCACACUGGUACUGAGACGCGGACCAGACUCCUACGGGAGGCAGCAGUAAGGAAUAUUGGACAAUGGGGGCAACCCUGAUCCAGCCAUGCCGCGUGAAGGAUGAAGGCCCUCUGGGUUGUAAACUUCUUUUGUACGGGAAUAAACCCCUUUACGUGUAGAGGGUUGAAUGUACCGUAAGAAUAAGGAUCGGCUAACUUCGUGCCAGCCGCCGCGGUAA
rnacentral:rRNA from 1 species